rnacentral:rRNA from 1 species
CGGACCGGCGCACGGGUGAGUAACACGUAUGGCAACCUGGCCGUCACAGGUGGAUAACCGGAGAAAUUCCGACUAAUACAGCAUAACACUCCUGAGGGACAUCCUUCGGGAGUCAAAGGAGGCAACUCCGGGUGACGGAUGGGCAUGCGGCGCAUUAGGUAGUUGGUAGGGUAACGGCCUACCAAGCCGACGAUGCGUAGGGGUUCUGAGAGGAAGGUCCCCCCACAUUGGAACUGAGACACGGUCCAAACUCCUACGGGAGGCAGCAG